AAAAAUAUAGAUUUAAAAGACUGACUGCCAUCGCAAGUGGUCGGCGGAGCUUAAGUGAUUAGCAUUUCAAAUGCACAAGGAUCUAAUUCUACUCAAAACAGUUAAAUCUUUUUGUGAAAUAGUGGGGAACUGGAGCUCCAACUAAAGUAUGACACAGGUUCUCCGGAAAAAGUAAGCAACCCUCUAUAUGAGUCCACAAAGGACCUCCUACAUAGUGCUCUCCGAAAGGGCAUAGCCAAAAUUUUGGAAGAACAAAACUUGGCGCUCCCCGAGAAAAUGACCCAUUCUGAGCUAGUUGAUAAAUUAAUUGAUACGCAAGUGGUAGAUCAAUUUAUUGUGGAACCUA
rnacentral:lncRNA from 1 species